UAUUAGAAAUUUCAGGGCUGGCCAAAUAGCUCAGUGGAUUCAAGUGCCUACUUAGGCAGAUGCAGGGGAACCAUGAGGAGGAGGCGGAGUGUUCUUCCAUGAGCAUGAAGCCAGCUCUCGGUGUUGCUUUGCUGCAACUGCUGCUUGCUGUUGAUGAUCGUUCUUGCUUCCUGCCUGGAGGGUGCAAGAGGGAAGGAACACAGUCUGAGUGGG
ensembl:snoRNA U3 Small nucleolar RNA U3